rnacentral:rRNA from 1 species
UACGAAGGGGGCUAGCGUUACUCGGAUUGACUGGGCGUAAAGGGCGCGUAGGCGGAUGGUACAGUCAGACGUGAAAUUCCUGGGCUCAACCUGGGGGCUGCGUUUGAUACGUGCUGUCUGGAGUUCGGAAGAGGGUCGUGGAAUUCCCAGUGUAGAGGUGAAAUUCGUAGAUAUCGGGAGGAACACCGGUGGCGAAGGCGGCGAUCUGGGUCGAUACUGACGCUGAGGUGCGAAAGCGUGGGGAGCAAACAGG